ensembl:lncRNA
CAACAGUUCAGAUCUGGAUCCACUAUGGAGAAUAUCAUAAAACGAUCCUGAUGAUGAAACCAGCUGUGAUAACAGAUGUUCAUGUGGAAUCCUAUUUCUCAUGCAGUCUUUUACAGUAUGGGGAUACCAGAGGGAAUCUAUUUGUAUGUGAGGAUAAUUGCUGUAUCCUCCUGGCCUGCUCUCCAAAGUCUGUAUGUCUUUAUCACUUUAAUCAAUUCAGUUUGUGUAAUUAGUUGUUAACCUCCUAUUAGCAAUAUAACAACUAGUCUCUCUACAACAUGGACUGUUAUUUGCUUUUAUGUUUGCAUUAUUUUUCAUUUAUAUUUAGGAUUUGGUGCUUUAUGUAUAGUUUUGUUGUCUUCACUCCAUUGUUACUUGAAGCUGAUGAACGUCAAUGACUGACUAUCAUGCCUAUUCGGCAUACUGCUGCCAAUCAUUUUCUAUGUGGACACUUCUUCAGUUUCUCAAAAAACAUUAGGCGCUGUAAAAAUAUAUUCCCUUAACUUUAAAAAUUUUAAGCUUCAGCAGGGAAAAGCUUAGUGUGCAUCUUCUUCCAAUUCUACGUUUUUAUGUUUCAGAACACAAUAAUGAUAAAAAAAAAAAAAGAAAGUACCGCCAGUGCUGCCUCUCAACCUCCUAGUAGAUGCACCUAAGAUCUAAAUUUGAAGAUCCUAGCUGAUUUCAAAAAAGUUGAUCUUUGACCUUAAGAUUGCGAUCACUGAAAUUCAAACUCAUCUGAGACUUUUAGUAAACACCCUUAUGAUAGGAAUUACAAAAUCCUAGGUGACUUCCUUCUUGAGUUAUUGCAUUCAUGAGAUUUUCAGAAGACUUGACAUUUGACAUUGAGGUCGAGCUGACUGAGAUUCAAACUCUUGUGAGAUUUUUAAUAGAUGCACCAACGGUAAUCCUAUGUCACCCGUCAGGUUUAUAUAGUGGAUUUAUGUCACCUCAUUCUCAAGUAAUCGCAUUCGCAAUCUUGGGUUUCCAUGUCGCCCACCUGUGUUAGUGACAACAAUGCCACAACAGCCUUUUAUGAAUGAAGGGAAAAAAAUCAUGCACUUCUUAGC